ensembl:lncRNA
AAGUCUACUAUGGGGCAGAAUCACUUUAUCCAGUUUCAAAAUUAGAAACCGGAACACAUAUGCACCAUACAUUUUCUUUUUAGUUUAAAGGGUAAAAGACAUGCAAAGAAAGGAAAAUGUGGAGGAGGACUUCGUUCACAUGAGAUAGGCAGUCCUUUUGUCUGGGACGCAUGUGGGGAUUCUCCUCCCCUCAUUCGUUGGUCAGAUCGGAAGCUAAUUUUCACACCAUUGCCCCCCUUUUGCACCGUCCAUUUCCUAUAACGUUAGUCAACUUUCAUAUAGACUUUGAUAAUGAAUAAGUACUUUAUAGAAUCACUAAACUUAUACGUACAGCAUGUUUGUGGGGUUGCUUUAAAAUGCAUGUUAUUGGAAAGGAAUGCGACCCGUUGCUCCACCCGUCAGAGGGGGACGUUUUCUAUAGGAAAACAUUGUUUAUGUAGGCUAGUAUGCUUAUUGAGGGUGGCAUAUGUCGGUUUGACGAAAAAUAUCUGCGGGUUUUCAUUAAAAGCACCAGGAUAAUUUGCUGUUUAUGUAGAAUUAGGAACCCAGACGAUAACACACAUACGUUUUAAAAAUAGCCUAUAUAUUAUAUACAAACAAAAGGCUAACAAAAGCAAAAACUGCUGCUUUCGCUAUCGUCGAAGAACGCUGGAAUUAAGCACUGUGUGAGUUGAAAAGUACUUUUUGUUCCGUUUCAGAUUUCAGUUAUAUUUUUUUGCGUGUUUUCAGCCCAUGCUUCCUGUUGAGCGAAUGUAUGGAACAUUCUGUGCCGUCUUCGCCAUGUUCAUGCGAAUAAAUUGCUUUGAGAAACUCUCAUGUAAGUUUCGUGCAUAGCAAGCCGUUUUGUGUCGUGUAAACGUUGUUUUUUAACCAGUAAUUUAUUGGAAACAGACUUAUUCUUCUUUCAUAUGGAUAUUGUUUUAAAGAUAUUUUUUGACGGUUUAGUCAUGUUUAUGUUCUUUGCUGUAUUAACCACGGUGUAUUUAUACAGAAAAUGGCGGUACCCAGUCACAUCUUCCAAUUCUUUUUUGUCUAAACUGCUUUCUGUGUUCACGUUGAAGAAUUCAUAUAGUUCAUGUAUUUGCUUUAACAAGCACAUACAACAAACUUCUUUAGGUUACUAAUAUAAUCCUCAGGAAUGUUUUGAGUGUUUAGUCAUUAGUUGUUUAGACUGAAGGUUACGUACGUUCAUCUAGUUAUUCAUUCACUUUAUACUGUUUCGCUAUUUUGAAGAAUGUUUACUUU